rnacentral:rRNA from 1 species
ACGCCGCGUGAGGAAAAGGUUCUGCGCCUGCGCUUCGGCAUCGAGGACGGCCAUACCCGUACCCUCGAGGAGGUUGGCAAGGAAUUCAACGUAACUCGCGAGCGUAUCCGCCAGAUUGAGGCAAAGGCGCUGCGUAAGCUGCGUCAUCCGUCGCGCUCCAAGAAGCUGAAGGAUUUCCUGAACUAAAGAAGCCCAAAGCCGCUUACCGACAGUUAAGCGGCUUCUUUAUGGAAAACGGAGAAUUGAGGACGGAGAAUGCAACCGUUGCGUUAAUUCUCCAUUCUCAGUUACUGCGAUAUUCGAGAUACUGCAAAAAAUGCUUGUCCGCCGGAGAUGCGUUUAUCGUGUUGUAAAACUGCGGCAGAAUAUUGCCUGAGAUCGGCGGAACGGCCAGCUGUGCAAAAUGCCGUCACAGGCUUCCUUUUGCCUACAAGCACCGAGAGUCCGUUAAUGGAUGAUCGGGUACUUUUUGUAGAACGGUCCGGCGAGUUAAUAUUUGCAGCGAGGUUAAGGAACUGGAGUUCCGGAGCCGCAGCGAGAGCGAGUCUGAAAAGGGCGUAUGAAGUUGCAGGUAUUAGACCCGAAACCGGGUGACCUAUCCAUGAGCAGGCUGAAGCGGUGGUAAGACACCGUGGAGGGCCGCACCCACGUCUGUUGAAAAAGCCGGGGAUGACUUGUGGAUAGCGGAGAAAUUCCAAUCGAACUCGGAGAUAGCUGGUUCUCCCCGAAAUAGCUUUAGGGCUAGCGUUAUUUUAGAUUACCGGAGGUAAAGCACUGAAUGGUCUAGGGGCCGCGAGGUUACCAAAGCCUAUCAAACUCUGAAUGCCGGAUAAUUGAUGAAUAGCAGUCAGACUGUGUGAGAUAAGUCUCAUAGUCAAAAGGGAAACAGCCCAGAUCUACAGCUAAGGUCCCAAAUGAACACUAAGUGGAAAAUGAUGUGAAACUGCGAAGACAACCAGGAUGUUGGCUUAGAAGCAGCCACUCAUUCAAAGAGUGCGUAAUAGCUCACUGGUCGAGUGGUUUUGCGCAGAAAAUGUAACGGGGCUAAGUGUUCAACCGAAGCUUAGGCAUUGCAGCAAUGCAUUGGGUAGGGGAGCGUCGUAUGCGGGGCGAAGUCAGAGCGGAAGCACUGGUGGACUGCAUACGAGUGAGAAUGCCGGAAUAAGUAGCGAGAAUUAUGUGAGAAUCAUAAUGGCCGAAAAUCUAAGGUUUCUUGGGGAAGGUUCGUCCGCCCAAGGUUAGUCGGGAGCUAAGCUCAGGCCGAAAGGCGUAGGCGAUGCACAUACGGUAGAAAUUCCGUAACCACCGAACAUUUAAGCUAGAGGGACGCUUUCUUUAAGUCUAUCCCGGGCGAUGGUUGCCCCGGGCGUAAGGGACCGAAAUUUAGUAGGGAAGUAGAUGGCGAGAGAGACGAGAAAAGCUCUAGUGUAUACUAAGGUGCCCGUACCGCAAACCGACACAGGUAGAUGGGAUGAGUAUUCUAAGGCCAACGGGAGAAGGGUUGUUAAGGAACUCGGCAAAUUGGCCCCGUAACUUCGGGAUAAGGGGCGCCUGCGAGAGCAGGCCGCAGUGAAAAGGCCCAAGCGACUGUUUAGCAAAAACACAGCUCUCUGCUAAAUCGAAAGAUGACGUAUAGGGGGUGACGCCUGCCCGGUGCUGGAAGGUUAAGGGGAGUGCUUAGCGCAAGCGAAGGUGCGAACUUAAGCCCCAGUAAACGGCGGCCGUAACUAUAACGGUCCUAAGGUAGCGAAAUUCCUUGUCAGGUAAGUUCUGACCCGCACGAAUGGCGUAACGAUUUGGGCACUGUCUCAACAGCCCGCCCGGCGAAAUUGUAGUACCGGUGAAGAUGCCGGUUUCCCGCAACUAGACGGAAAGACCCCAUGGAGCUUCACUGUAGCUUGAUAUUGGAUCUCGGUAUUCCAUGUACAGGAUAGGUGGGAGGCUAGGAAGCGAGCGCGCCAGCGUUCGUGGAGCCAACCUUGGGAUACCACUCUUGGGAUAUUGGGAUUCUAACCUGCGACCAUGAAUCUGGUCGGGGGACACUGUCAGGUGGGCAGUUUGACUGGGGCGGUCGCCUCCAAAAGAGUAACGGAGGCGCUCAAAGGUUCGUUCAGCACGGAUGGAAAUCGUGCACUGAGUGUAAACGCAUAAACGAGCCUAACUGCGAGAAUGACGGUUCGAGCAGUAACGAAAGUUGGAGUUAGUGAUCCGGCGGUAUGUGAAUGGAAAUGCCGUCGCUCAACGGAUAAAAGCUACCCUGGGGAUAACAGGCUGAUCUCCCCCAAGAGUCCACAUCGACGGGGAGGUUUGGCACCUCGAUGUCGGCUCAUCGCAUCCUGGGGCUGUAUUCGGUCCCAAGGGUUUGGCUGUUCGCCAAUUAAAGCGGUACGCGAGCUGGGUUCAGAACGUCGUGAGACAGUUCGGUCCCUAUCUGUUGCGGGCGCAGGAAUAUUGAGAGGAGCUGUCCUUAGUACGAGAGGACCGGGAUGGACGUACCGCUGGUGCACCAGUUGUUCUGCCAAGGGCAUAGCUGGGUAGCUAAGUACGGACGAGAUAAACGCUGAAGGCAUCUAAGCGUGAAACUCCCCUCGAGAUAAGUGUUCCCAUCCUUCGGGAGUAAGGCCCCUUGU